rnacentral:rRNA from 1 species
ACGCUCGACACCUACGGGGGGCAGCAGUGGGGAAUAUUGCACAAUGGGGGAAACCCUGAUGCAGCGACGCCGCGUGGAGGAAGAAGGUCUUCGGAUUGUAAACUCCUGUUGUUGGGGAAAAAGAGGAUGGUACCCAACAAGGAAGUGACGGCUAACUACGUGCCAGCAGCAGCGGUAAUCUGAGCGGGCUGGCAAGGC